rnacentral:lncRNA from 1 species
AUCUUCCUGGCCCAGGGAUCGAACCCAUGUCUCCCACAUUGCAGGCAGAUGCCUUACUAUCUGAGCCAGCAGGGAAGCCCAGAAAACAAAAAAUUCUGUAAAGCAAUUAUCCUUCAAUAAAAAAAUUAAAAAAAUCAACUUGUCUUUUCUGUUCUCAUUUUUGCCAACUUCUCAUGUUCUGGCAAAAUAUGUUAGAAUUCUCAAAAUUCUGCAACUCACAGCUUCACUUUAAACAAACACUUAAAGGCUAUUAAAUUACUAAAUGUAAUUUAGUAAUAAACUGUGUAAAUAAACUAUAAUUUUAAAUAUUAGACACAAAACAAUUUUAUGCAUAAUUCAAAUUGUACAUAAUCCACAUUUAUGCUUCUGAACAAACAGAAGCUCACAUUAGUACUACUUUCAUAGUUUACAAAGUGCUUUUAUAUACAUUUUCUUAUUUUUUAUUCGAGACAAACAUGUGAGUUAAAUAUUAUUCUCAUUUCACAAGUAGAAAUAGAACCAGACAUUAUUCAGUGCUUUAGCCAGUAUACAGUAUAGCCCUGAGACUUUAGAUCUGCCAAGGGUUUUAAUAAUGCAAAUACCAUAUACGUAUCAAUUUUUAUCACCAUUUUCAAGUUUCCAUUUUCUUAACAAAGGAAAACAAUGAAAAAGUUUUCCACAAUCUAAUAAUAAAAGUGGGAAAUAUUAUAUAUACAGUUGUAUACUAACCCAGUGAGUGAGAUCUAUCAGAAGCAAGUUCACUCUGAAGGUCCUAUGUUGUUACCUGUAUACAGGGCACCAGUAUCAGAACCAUGUUUACACGAGUAAUUUUUCUACUUUAGAGAAAAUAAUCCAGGACAUUCCUAUUGCCUCCAAGUCUUAUGAGUUGUGUGUAUGUGUUAGGGUAUGUAAGUGGCCAGGAAGUGGUGUGUGUGUGUUAGGGUAUGUAUGUGGCCAUGUGUGUUUGUGUGUGUUAGGGUAUGUAAGUGGACAGGAAGGAUACAGAAAAAUACUUAAUCCAUCUUUAGAGUUAUAGGACCUCUGAUUUUCCCAUCUGCAAUGACUUGACAAAUUUGGUCAUAUGUCUCAUCUAUAGUAAUACAUUUUCUUUCCACACUCCUCCUUCUUAAGUACCCUCUACCAUUAAGAUUAGAAAUUCUAACAGGUAGCUUUUCUUUCUGAACUAUCUUCCCUAUUGCAUAUUUUUUCCCCCCAGAAUUUUCCUUUCCUAUUUCUGUAUCUUGAAGACAUUUCAUUAUAGUAGAUGACAGAGCUAUAGUUUAUAUUCACUGUGAUAAAAGAUCAGUCUCAGCAUUGAUUUCCCAGCAAAAAGCUGGCAGAAAAGUCGACCACAAAGGGAAGAAACAGCGGUAACCGGCAGCGCAGUGACACCUGCGCUCAGACAGCUGCGCUGCAGCCUCCCCAGACCUGAGCUGGUCUCCUCUCAUCACUGUGCCGUCAAUUCUCAGAGGGAGAUUCUGGCUGGUUUCAUCACUGCGCUGUCAGUCUACAGAGGGAAAUUCUGCCUGCUCUUGAGUUCAAAGCAGACCAGAAUGUUUAAAUUAUUGGUUCAAUGAAUUAUUUUUUUUGAUGUUACAAUGUUUUUAUUGCAUCUGAAGAUAUUUUCAAUAAAUAUCUUGAGUUUGGAGCCUUGGCUAGGUAAGGAAGCAAGGUGAAGUCGCUCAUUC